rnacentral:piRNA from 1 species
UAGUUAGAGGUGUAACCAGGAAAUGCAGG